rnacentral:rRNA from 1 species
GGUAGUAAGAGCCGAUGAAGGACGUGGUAAGCUGCGAUAAGCCUAGAUAAGUUGCAAUCGAACGUAAGAGUCUAGGAUUUCCGAAUGGAGCAAUCUAUUAAGAUGGAGUCUUAAUACGAAAGAGGGAACCGCGUGAACUGAAACAUCUAAGUAACGCGAGGAAAAGAAAGUAAAAACGAUACCCAAAGUAGCGGCGAGCGAAAUGGGUCAAGCCUAAACCUUAAAUAUGUCAAGGAUACAGCCGUUGUAUUUAAGGGGUUGAGGGACAGAGUUGUGAAGAACUGUAAGCUAUUCAAUAUAGUGUAUUGAUGAAUUAGAAUUGUCUGGAAAGGUGAACCGCAGAAGGUGAAAGUCCUGUAUAAGUAAAUCCUUACACAUAUAACUUUGCUCCCAAGUAACAUGGAACACGAGGAAUUCUGUGUGAAUCUGUGAGGACCAUAUCUCAUAAGGCUAAAUACUCUUACUAACCGAUAGCGCAUAGUACCGUGAGGGAAAGGUGAAAAGAACCCCUGGAGGGGAGUGAAAUAGAACCUGAAAUUGUGUGCUUACAAGCGGUCAGAGCCAGCAAUGGUGAUGGCGUGCCUUUUGGAGAAUGAUCCUGCGAGUUACGUUAAACGGCGAGGUUAAGUAUAACGGAGCCGAAGGGAAACCAAGUCUUAAUAGGGCGAUUUAGUCGUUUGGCGUAGACGCGAAACCUGGUGAUCUAAACCUGUCCAGGAUGAAGCUGUGGUAAGACACAGUGGAGGUCCUAACCCACCGCCGUUGAAAAGUUGGGGGAUGAGGUAGGUUUAGGGGUGAAAAGCCAAUCGAACCAGGAGAUAGCUCGUUCUCUCCGAAAUGCAUCUAGGUGCAGCCUUGAGUGUUCAAUUAUGGGGGUAGAGCACUGAAUGAUCUAGGGGGCGUAUUGCUUACUGAAAUCAAUCAAACUCCGAAUACCAUAAUUUAUAGCUCAGGAGUGAGACUAUGGGAGUUAACUUCCAUUGUCAAAAGGGAAACAACCCAGACCACCAGCUAAGGUCCCUAAUUAUAACUAAGUGGGAAAGGAGGUGGAGAUUCACAAACAACUAGGAGGUUGGCUUAGAAGCAGCCAUACCUUUAAAGAGUGCGUAAUAGCUCACUAGUCGAGAGUCUCUGCGCCGACAAUGUAACGGGGCUAAGUUAUAAACCGAAGCUGUGGAAUCCGUAAGGAUUGGUAGGAGAGCGUUCUGUAGGCCGUUGAAGGAGAAGGGUAACCAACUCUGGAGGUAUCAGAAGUGAGAAUGCAGGAAUAAGUAGCGAGAAAGGGGGCGAGAAUCCCCCUCGCCGGAAGACCAAGGUUUUCAGGGUAAAGCUUGUCUUCCCUGAGUAAGCCGGGACCUAAGCCCAGGCUAUAAUGCGUAGGCGAAUGGAAAACAGAUUAAUAUUUCUGUGCCAGUCAUAUAUUGUGAUGGAGGGACGCAGAAGGGUAUGCGCGCGGACGAACGGAAGUGUCCGUAGAAGUAUGUAGGAUGACUCAGUAGGAAAAUCCAUUGAGUUAUAUCUGAGGUAUGAUAUACAGUCGUAAGAUGAAUGCGCAAAUCCCACGCUGCCAAGAAAAGCUUCUAACGUUAAUAUUUGACUGCCCGUACUGCAAACCGACACAGGUGGUCAGGAUGAGAAAUCUAAGGCGGACAGGCUAACUCUCGUUAAGGAACUCUGCAAAAUAACCUCGUAACUUCGGGAGAAGAGGAGCCCUUGAGGGUCAGUAUCCACGCGAUACAAAGCGCUCGAGGGUCGCAGUGAAGAGGCUCAAGCAACUGUUUAACAAAAACACAGGUCUAUGCUAAGCUGGAAGGCGAUGUAUAUGGGCUGACACCUGCCCAGUGCUGGAAGGUUAAGAGGAGGAGUGAGAGCUCCGAAUUGAAGCCCCAGUGAACGGCGGCCGUAACUAUAACGGUCCUAAGGUAGCGAAAUUCCUUGUCGGGUAA